rnacentral:rRNA from 1 species
AGAGCGAACGCUGGCGGCAGGCCUAAUACAUGCAAGUCGAACGGACCCUUCGGGGUUAGUGGCGGACGGGUGAGUAACACGUGGGAACGUGCCCUUUGGUUCGGAACAACUCAGGGAAACUUGAGCUAAUACCGGAUACGCCCUUACGGGGAAAGAUUUAUUGCCGAAGGAACGGCCCGCGUCCGAUUAGCUAGUUGGUGAGGUAAUGGCUCACCAAGGCGACGAUCGGUAGCUGGUCUGAGAGGAUGACCAGCAUCACUGGGACUGAGACACGGCCCAGACUCCUACGGGAGGCAGCAGUGGGGAAUAUUGGACAAUGGGCGCAAGCCUGAUCCAGCCAUGCCGCGUGGAUGAUGAAGGCCUUAGGGUUGUAAAGUCCUUUUAACGGGAGAUAAUGACGGUACCCGUAGAUAAGCCCGGCUAACUUCGUGCCAGCAGCCGC